GUUUGGAAUAGGACCAAGAGCAAAUGUGAACCCCUUAUCUCCUUGGGUGCAAAAUACAAAUUAUCCCCUGAGGAGGUUGCAGCAUCUUGUGAUGUCAUAUUUGCCAUGCUUGCAGACCCCGAGAGUGCAGCGAAUGUUGCUUGUGGAAAAUAUGGAGCUGCAAAAGGAAUGGGUCCAGGAAAAGG